UGAACAUGAGGCUUGAAGGAGGGGUCGGAGUCAAAGAGAACACCUAGGCAGCGAUCCUGCGUGGUGGAGCUGAUGGUAGCACCGUUGACUUGGAGGGAGACAGACACAGGAGUAUCAACACUUGAGGGAGGAAAGACCAGAAUUUCAGUUUUGGUCAAGUUUAGUUUAAGAAAGUGGGCAGCCAUCCAGUUAGAAAUAGCAGAGAGGCAGUCAGAGACACUAG
rnacentral:lncRNA from 1 species